UCAUUCUAGAGGGUGGAUGGNCAUUACCUAUACGUUGCGGGCUUUGCCUGCCAUCUGUUACCCAUGUCGUUUGAGUACCUUCGUUUCCUCGGCGGGUUCGCCCGCCGGUUGGACAACACUUAAACCCUUUGUAAUUGAAAUCACCGUCUGAAAAACUUUAAUAGUUACAACUUUCAACAACGGAUCUCUUGGUUCUGGCAUCGAUGAAUAACGCACCGAAAUGCGAUAAGUAGUGUGAAUUGCAGAAUUCAGUGAAUCAUCGAAUCUUUGAACGCACAUUGCGCCCCUUGGUAUUCCAUGGGGCAUGCCUGUUCAAGCGUCUUUUGUACCUUCAAGCUCUGCUUGGUGUUGGGUGUUUGUCUCGCCUUUUGCGCGCAGACUCGCCUCAAAACGAUUGGCAGCCGGCGUAUUGAUUUCGGAGCGCAGUACAUCUCGCGCUUUGCACUCACAACGACAACAUCCAAAAAGUACAUUUUUACACUCUUGACCUCGGAUCAGGUAGGGAUACCCGCUGAACUUAAGCAUAUCAAUAAGCGGAGGAUGAAACCCCCAACANGGANUGAGGCGACCCGGGGGACCUGAAACAUCUAAGUACCCCGAGGAAAAGAAAUCCAACCAUAUACUCAUUAUCAUUAACUGUAUCCUUAGGUGAAUGAGGCGGAGGCAGCUGGAACUUCUACAUCUCCCCUACGCACAANAGAACAAACCAGAUCAA
rnacentral:rRNA from 1 species